CUGCUUGUUCCCCUUCUCAUUUGAAGACUUUCUUCCCAUUUCCCACUGUGGGAUAUUUCCUUAGAGCUGGAGAUGCCUCCCGCGCUCCCUUGCUUCCUUUCCCUCCCACCUCUGCCCAAAAGCCCGUGUCGGGCUCCGGGAUCCUCUGAGGGACUGGAGCAGAACAAGACUCUGGCUCAGUCUUCCCCCACAGUUACUGUGUUUGACCCAGUGGAAUAGGAGAGAAACAUUAAAAUCAGAUUGUAUGUCCCCACAAAAUGACUAAGCCAUUUCUUAAAGAGGACAACUCCAAAAAAGAAAAAAAAAAAAAAAUCAAGGAGAUUGCAUCACCUGAAAUAAUUUAAAUAAUAAAGCAUACUUUGAAUUAAAAUUUAAACUUAAUAUCUUCUCUUGCCCCAAAUAAUUGGUCAUUAGUGUGCAUUUGGAAUGGAAGAGAGAAUAUAUGUGUCAAUGAUCCUCCUACCACUAAUGCCAUCCUGUGCCUCAUCUGUGUCAUCCUCACCAGUGACCUUCGCGACGAGCAGGCAGUGUCAUCAUCCCGAUUCCGGAGACACUUGAGCAGCUGUGACCUUGCGUAGAACAAACCUGGUCAGAUAGUCCGAGACAGCCUGCUUGCCAGCCAGCAUUUCAGACAGAGAGACUGAAAUAUUGGAGAGGGCACAAGGUCCAUGGGAGUCAUGGAAGCAGGGAAGAAGGGAGCUCGAGCAGAAAUAAACAAGGCUGUUGGUGUCACAAAUUUGGCUCUAGGUGAGAUGAAGAAGCAGUGUUCUUGGAAGAUACAGAUAUGACUGCAAGUUCUUUUGCUUCUGGAUGGUUACGUUUUGCUUCAUGACUUGUCAGAGAAAUCUCUUAAGGCCUGUGAGGUCAGAACACAUUGUCGCCUCUCUACUUGGUCCUGAUGGUUGGAAAAAGCUGCUUGAAUUUCCAGAAGAGCCUAAAUAGCAGAAUUAAUACAAUUCUACUACUUUAAUGUCAAAUAAUGGUGGCCACUAGUUCUGUGGAUUCCUGGGGAGAGAGUCUUUCCUGGAAUCUCUCUGCCCAACCUGUCCAGCGCUUCAGCAUAUCAAGAACAGCGGGGCCCAGUGGCUGCCAGAGCUGGUUGAUUGGGACAGAAGAAUCCCUCACUGUGAUGUUACGCUCAUUAAAUCUGGGACAUGAACUCCAGAGCUGGAGAGUUACAGAAGCAUCAUCUAUUUUAGAAUUUGGAUAUGGUGCUGUUUCUCCCAGGGACCUAUGCAUGGCACACUGGGAUUGGGCUGGGAUAGAGUGGUCACCACUCUACUGUACAUGCCUCCUCCAGCUGCUCUCUUUGAAUGCUAAGGCUUUGUUGCUCAGCCCUGUUGCUAGCUCCUUCCUCUGUUAUAGGGAGCUGCCUCCUGGAGCCUCCUCAGCCUUCUCUGAGAGUGACAUUUUGCCUAGUACCGGACCAGACUGCACACCCUCUGGCAGUAGUUUCCAUAUGAGCUUGUUCCCAGGAGGCGGCUCAGCCUGUAGGCAGCAGAUUUGCAUCAGGCCCCAAGAAGGGUGAGCCCCAGAGAGUGGAGAGAAAGCCAGACUGAAGCUGAGAUCCCCUGCACAGCCGUGGCCUCUGCUUCCUGGUUUGGGAAUAGUAAUUGGAAGUCCUGCAUGUUGGCCCUCUGCUCUCCACUUUAUUUCUGAGCAUAGGACUUGCCAAAGCUUCCCAAGCAAAAUGGUAUGAAUUUCAAAAUUAUGAGUUUUGCCUCUCCACAAAGCCUACAGAGGCAACCACAUGUUCCCAAUGUCAGGAAGCCCUGAAUUGCUGCCUCCUGUUGUAAUGAGCCCUUUUAGCUGUUUAAUGAGCACGGCCCCUUUAGCUAUUACCUGACAAACCUCAGAGCACAAUCAUUACCGAUUUCUGGUUAUCCUUCUUCAAAUUCAGAAUUUAUCGAGUCAAGUAAAUGAGGUUUUCCUGAUUUCACCUUUCACAUCAAGAUGGUAUGUGCCACAUUCUAUGUGAUUAUUGUUGAGGAUGGAGCAGCUUUCAACUUUUUUGAAUAUAAAAAUACAAUCUUGACUUCUCCUCUCUCAAAAAUUUAGAAGAUUUUUCUCCUAUGCAAGAAAAGCCCAACUUCAGAUGUCAUAAAUGUGCUAGACAAAGAUAAGAGCCAAAUUUGAGAUAAGUAAAACAUUUACUCUGACAGCUGUUAGGUCUGCACUAGAUUUAGAGUCUAGAGCUAUCAGUCAGUUGUCACUGAAAUGCACCGCUUUAUCUCUGUUUCCCGGAGUCUCUGCUAUUUGUUACCAUGAUUUUUCCAGCUCCCUUUCCUCUAAAUCACCCAUUGUGUUGCAAAAUCCCACCCCCAUCUUGAUUUCAUCUUUCUGUUUCCUUGGGGGUCCCAGAGACCCGGGAGAGUCCAUAAAGUUGACUAUAACUUGAAAGCCACUUUCGUGUCCUGCCUGAAGUGAGCUGAUUUAUGACUCAGUGUUUAGUAAGCACUCAGAAAGCCUCCUAUGAAAUGUGAGAUCCAAGUGCGCUGUGCUAUUGCUUCACUUUAUUUGACUUUUGUAAAGUGCCCAGUACCAUGACAAUAUUCCCUAAGUAAAUAAUAAAUGCAACAAAACAC
ensembl:lincRNA